AACGAACGCUGGCGGCAUGCCUAACACAUGCAAGUCGAACGAGACCUUCGGGUCUAGUGGCGCACGGGUGCGUAACGCGUGGGAACCUGCCCUUAGGUUCGGAAUAACUCCCCGAAAGGGGUGCUAAUACCGGAUAAUGUCUUCGGACCAAAGAUUUAUCGCCUUUGGAUGGGCCCGCGUUGGAUUAGCUAGUUGGUAGGGUAAAAGCCUACCAAGGCGACGAUCCAUAGCUGGUCUGAGAGGAUGAUCAGCCACACUGGGACUGAGACACGGCCCAGACUCCUACGGGAGGCAGCAGUGGGGAAUAUUGGACGAUGGGCGAAAGCCUGAUCCAGUAAUGCCGCGUGAGUGAUGAAGGCCUUAGGGUUGUAAAGCUCUUUUACCCGGGAUGAUAAUGACAGUACCGGGAGAAUAAGCUCCGGCUAACUCCGUG
rnacentral:rRNA from 1 species